rnacentral:rRNA from 1 species
AACGAACGCUGGCGGCAGGCUUGACACAUGCAAGUCGAGCGCCCCGCAAGGGGAGCGGCAGACGGGUGAGUAACGCGUGGGAAUCUACCCAUCUCUACGGAAUAACGCAUGGAAACGUGUGCUAAUACCGUGUACGUCCUUCGGGAGCAAGAUUUAUCGGAGAUGGAUGAGCCCGCGUUGGAUUAGCUAGUUGGUGGGGUAAAGGCCUACCAAGGCGACGAUCCAUAGCUGGUCUGAGAGGAUGAUCAGCCACACUGGGACUGAGACACGGCCCAGACUCCUACGGGAGGCAGCAGUGGGGAAUAUUGGACAAUGGGCGCAAGCCUGAUCCAGCCAUGCCGCGUGAGUGAUGAAGGCCCUAGGGUUGUAAAGCUCUUUCACCGGUGAAGAUAAUGACGGUAACCGGAGAAGAAGCCCCGGCUAACUUCGUGCCAGCCGCCGCCGUAACAC